rnacentral:rRNA from 1 species
UACGUAGGGUGCGAGCGUUAAUCGGAAUUACUGGGCGUAAAGUGUGCGCAGGUGGCUGAGCAAGUCGAGUGUGAAAGCCCCGGGCUUAACCUGGGGAUUGCGCUCGAAACUACUUGGCUGGAGUAUGGCAGAGGGAGGUGGAAUUCCACGUGUAGCGGUGAAAUGCGUAGAGAUGUGGAGGAACACCAAUGGCGAAGGCAGCCUCCUGGGCCAAUACUGACACUCAUGCACGAAAGCGUGGGGAGCAAACAGG